rnacentral:rRNA from 1 species
UGGGGAAUAUUGCACAAUGGGCGAAAGCCUGAUGCAGCGACGCCGCGUGCGGGAUGAAGGCCUUCGGGUUGUAAACCGCUUUUGAUUGGGAGCAAGCGAGAGUGAGUGUACCUUUCGAAUAAGCACCGGCUAACUACGUGCCAGCAGCCGCGGUAAUACGUAGGGUGCAAGCGUUAUCCGGAAUUAUUGGGCGUAAAGAGCUCGUAGGCGGUUUGUCGCGUCUGGUGUGAAAGUCCAUCGCUUAACGGUGGAUCUGCGCCGGGUACGGGCAGGCUAGAGUGCGACAGGGGAGACUGGAAUUCCCGGUGUAACGGUGGAAUGUGUAGAUAUCGGGAAGAACACCAAUGGCGAAGGCAGGUCUCUGGGUCGUCACUGACGCUGAGGAGCGAAAAGCGUGGGGAGCGAACAGGAUUAGAUACCCUGGUAGUCCACGCCGUAAACGGUGGAUGCUGGAUGUGGGGCCCAUUCCACGGGUUCCGUGUCGGAGCUAACGCGU